rnacentral:lncRNA from 1 species
CGUAUCACCAGUAAGUAGCUUUUUGAGUAGCAGCCGGUUUACAGACUCUUUGACAGAAAGCAGACAAUGGGACAGAAACUGAUUGGGCACACUCUGCCAGCUGAAGCUGCCCAUGUGGAUGCAAUGAUGGAUCUGGGUCCUGACGAAUUUGUGCUGGUCCUCAUCAAACACUGCCGUGACAUGAAGCAACAGGAGACGUGUCUCAGACUCAUCUCCCUGCUCCUGCUGCUCAGCUGUGUGGCACUCUUCAUCUUCUCCUUUGGUGCUGAUUUAUGGAAAAGUGAAAACUCUGGAUCCAGGGGACAAGGGAGCGCUGUUGAGCAAAGUCCAGCCUCCAGCCAACUGCAAGAGAGAGUUUUCCCUGCAGACGAUCCACAAACAAACUUCCAAAGACUUCAAGACUUCAAGAUUCAUCUCAGUAAGUGGUUUUCAUGACACUUCACUACUUUUUGCAUGACUUUUGUUUUGGCUGAUAUAGACUGAAACACAUAGGUUUUUAAUAGUUAAUAUG